rnacentral:rRNA from 1 species
AGAAAAGCAGUGGGAAAGGCGGCCCCUGGACAAAACUGACAGUCAGAUGGGAAAGCGUGGGGAGCAAACACAGAUUAGAUACCCUGGUAGUCCACGCUGUAAACGGAUGUCUGCUUGGAGGUUGUGGCCCUUAAGCCGGGGCUUUCGGAGCUAACGCGUUAAGUAGACCGCCUGGGAAGUACGGUCGCAAGAUUAAAACUCAAAUGAAUUGACGGGGGCCCGCACAAGCGGUGGAGCAUGUGGUUUAAUUCGAUGCAACGCGGAGAACCUUACCUACUCUUGACAUCCAGAGAAGCCAGCGGAGACGCAGGUGUGCCUUCGGGAACUCUGAGACAGGUGCUGCAUGGCUGUCGUCAGCUCGUGUUGUGAAAUGUUGGGUUAAGUCCCGCAACGAGCGCAACCCUUAUCCUUGUUUGCCAGCGAGUAAUGUCGGGAACUCCAGGGAGACUGCCGGUGAUAAACCGGAGGAAGGUGGGGACGACGUCAAGUCAUCAUGGCCCUUACGAGUAGGGCUACACACGUGCUACAAUGGCGCAUACAGAGGGCGGCCAACUUGCGAAAGUGAGCGAAUCCCAAAAAGUGCGUCGUAGUCCGGAUUGGAGUCUGCAACUCGACUCCAUGAAGUCGGAAUCGCUAGUAAUCGUGGAUCAGAAUGCCACGGUGAAUACGUUCCCGGGCCUUGUACACACCGCCCGUCACACCAUGGGAGUGGGCUGCAAAAGAAGUGGGUAGUUUAACCUUCGGGAGGACGCUCACCACUUUGUGGUUCAUGACUGGGGUGAAGUCGAAACAAGGUAGCGGGGCGCAAAAAAA